GCGGAAGGAUCAUUAUCGUUGGGCUUCGGCCCAUUCGAGAUAACACCCUUGCCUUUUUGAGUACCUUUUCGUUUCCUCGGCAGGCUCGCCUGCCAACGGGGACCCUUCAAAACGCUUUGUAAUACCUGUAACUGUCUGAUAUAACAAGCAAAAAUCAAAACUUUCAACAACGGAUCUCUUGGUUCUGGCAUCGAUGAAGAACGCAGCGAAAUGCGAUAAGUAGUGUGAAUUGCAGAAUUCAGUGAAUCAUCGAAUCUUUGAACGCACAUUGCGCCCUUUGGUAUUCCUUAGGGCAUGCCUGUUCGAGCGUCAUUUAAACCUUCAAGCUCAGCUUGGUGAUGGGUGACUGUCCUCCCCUCGCGGGGGGGACUCGCCUCAAAAACAUUGGCGGCCGGUACAUUGGCUUCGAGCGCAGCAGAAACGCGGUCUCGAGUCCGGUGGAUCGGCUCCCAUAAGCCUUCUUUUUUAUUUUGACCUCGGAUCAGGUAGGGAUACCCGCUGAACUUAAGCAUAUCAAUA
rnacentral:rRNA from 1 species